AGCAGUGGGGAAUAUUGCACAGUGGGGGAAACCCUGAUGCAGCAACGCCGCGUGAGUGAUGAAGGCCUUCGGGUUGUAAAGCUCUGUCUUUGGGGACGAUAAUGACGGUACCCAAGGAGGAAGCCACGGCUAACUACGUGCCAGCAGCCGCGGUAAUACGUAGGUGGCAAGCGUUGUCCGGAUUUACUGGGCGUAAAGGGAGCGUAGGUGGAUAUUUAAGUGGGAUGUGAAAUCCCCGGGCUUAACCUGGGGGCUGCAUUCCAAACUGGAUUUCUAGAGUGCAGGAGAGGAGAGUGGAAUUCCUAGUGUAGCGGUGAAAUGCGUAGAGAUUAGGAAGAACACCAGUGGCGAAGGCGACUCUCUGGACUGUAACUGACACUGAGGCUCGAAAGCGUGGGGAGCAAACAGGAUUAGAUACCCUGGUAGUCCACGCCGUAAACGAUGUCGACUUGGAGGUUGUUCCCUUGAGGAGUGGCUUCCGGAGCUAACGCGUUAAGUCGACCGCCUGGGGAGUACGGCCGCAAGGUUAAAACUCAAAUGAAUUGACGG
rnacentral:rRNA from 1 species